rnacentral:rRNA from 1 species
UGGGGAAUAUUGCACAAUGGGCGCAAGCCUGAUGCAGCAACGCCGCGUGAACGAUGAAGGUCUUCGGAUCGUAAAGUUCUGUUGCAGGGGAAGAUAAUGACGGUACCCUGUGAGGAAGCCCCGGCUAACUACGUGCCAGCAGCCGCGGUAAUACGUAGGGGGCUAGCGUUAUCCGGAUUUACUGGGCGUAAAGGGUGCGUAGGUGGUCUUUCAAGUCGGUGGUUAAAGGCUACGGCUCAACCGUAGUUAGCCUCCGAAACUGGAAGACUUGAGUGCAGGAGAGGAAAGUGGAAUUCCCAGUGUAGCGGUUAAAUGCGUAGAUAUUGGGAGGAACACCAGUAGCGAAGGCGGCUUUCUGGACUGCAACUGACACUGAGGCACGAAAGCGUGGGUAGCAAACAGG